UCUUGUUUUUUAUAACUUUUUCUGUGCUGUGUACCGUUCCUAAUAAAUAAAUAAAUAUAUGAAUAAAUAUAUUAUUUCCAGGUGGCAACACUGUAACUAUAGGUGCACAUCUAGUUCGAGCGCUACGACUCACGCCCGGCCGGGAAAGUCGCCCCGCCGACUGGGAUUUGCAGAGGUUACAGAGGGUCAACGUUAGUGAUGAUGGAGCCUCCAUAAUCCACGAGCACCUGAUAAGGUUCGCGCUGGAGAACGAAGUGGCCGACCAGAUCGUCAACAGCAUAUGUCUCUGUCGAGUGUACGAGCGGCCUUUUGUUAAAGAAUUCGCAAUGGAGAGGUUGUGCAAGCUUCUUGAUAAUUUUAAGACGGCUUCCUCAAUAACGUUUAAGGUGGAGAUGGUUCCGGAGGAGGGCGCGGGCCCGCGGGCCGGCGCCGCGUGGAGCGAGGCGGCGCGGGCGCGCC
rnacentral:misc_RNA from 1 species